rnacentral:lncRNA from 1 species
GCACAAUUAAAUUUUUAAUUUGAUUUGUUUCACUUCAUAUUUUUUAGAUUUAGUAAGCAAAGAAACAGUUGAUAUAGAAAAUGUUGCCGUGUAUUCCAAACACCCAUCACAUAUUGAAAAUUUCAUUAGGACUGGAACUGAUAAAUGAUCAAUUACAAGAGAGGAAAGAACGGUUCUUUCUACCCAAAGAACUCCGCAGAAGAAUUCUGGGGCAGACCUGUGAACAGACAGGAAGUUCCUGA